UUCAGUAAUCUUCACAGCAUCUUCGCCAGGACUAGAUGUGGAACUCUUCUUUUCACUAGAACACCGACAGGCCAUUGUACGGAAUAAUUCCCAGCAGAUGUAGAAGAGAGAGACCAGACUCCUGCCUGCAUUUUAUUUAGAAGCCAAUCUUCUCUCCAGAUUUGCUUGCUUCUUGAGUUGACAGAUAACCGAAGCAGAAACGACUAGCAGAGGGAAGAAUCAAAUGUGAGCCGGUGGCUUUGAAAACUCCAUCAACAGAGCAUCUGAGAUACAAACUAGUCAUAAAAACAUAGGGUACAGAUGUUGCUAGAACUUAGGACUUGACCAGCUUGUGUGACACGAUCACACAAAAUGGAAAUACACAGGAAGAGUGUGAUCGUGGAACAAGGUUACAAACCUUUGUGACUUCUUUCGUGGCAGCACGAGUUGUCGCUGACAGCGAAACAACGGGAACACAGCCAGCUGUCUUACGGGGCUUCUUUUGGAGGCAGGAAAUCAGCCACGAUAAGCAACUGAGGAGAAGCUACUGAAGUUAUUUUACACUGAAGCCCGAUUCCCAGUUCAUAAUCUAGGAAGCCUGGGAGUCUAACUAUGACUGAUACUUUUACACGUACUUUCGUUGCAAAUAAAAAGUAAAGAGCAAAAUAGUUUCUGGAGAAUUUGGGUAACUGUUG